UCAGCAUCACAUUUCCUAAUUUCCUUGAGGCAGCGGACCUAGAUGAGGACCUGUCUGAAAAACCAUCUAAAGAGAGUUGCAUCAAAGAGCAGAGACAGUAUUUCUUUGGGAACAAUGAGACAACUUUUAAGGGGACUGUGGAUUGUCAGAACUGCUCCAGGCAGUUCAUAGCUGAAAAGCUUCCGAAGACAAAUCUGGUGCUAAUUGUUGCAGACCCGCUAAUUCAUUGCCAUACUAGUGAAAAAGGUUUCUCCCAGGAAGAAAAG